rnacentral:rRNA from 1 species
GACGAACGCUGGCGGCGUGCCUAAUACAUGCCAGUAGAACGCUGAAGAGAGGAGCUUGCUCUUCUUGGAUGAGUUGCGAACGGGUGAGUAACGCGUAGGUAACCUGCCUUGUAGCGGGGGAUAACUAUUGGAAACGAUAGCUAAUACCGCAUCACAAUGGAUGACACAUGACAUUUAUUUGAAAGGGGCAAUUGCCCCACUACAAGAUGGACCUGCGUUGUGUUAGCUAGUAGGUGAGGUAAUGGCUCACCUAGGCGACGAUACAUAGCCUACCUGGGAGGGUGGUCGACCACACUGGGACUGAGGAACGGCCCAGACUCCUACGGGGGGGAGCAGGAGGGGAUCUUCGGCAAUGGGGGCAACCCUGACCGAGCAACGCCGCGUGAGUGAAGAAAGUUUUCGGAUCGUAAAGCUCUGUUGUAAGUCAAGAACGGGUGUGAGAGUGGAAAGUUCACACUGUGACGGUAGCUUACCAGAAAGGAACGGCUAACUACGUG